CCUACGGGAGGCAGCAGUGGGGAAUAUUGCACAAUGGGCGAAAGCCUGAUGCAGCGACGCCGCGUGAGGGAUGACGGCCUUCGGGUUGUAAACCUCUUUCAGCAGGGACGCGGUACCUGCAGAAGAAGCACCGGCUAACUACGUGCCAGCAGCCGCGGUAAUACGUAGGGUGCAAGCGUUGUCCGGAAUUACUGGGCGUAAAGAGUUCGUAGGCGGUUUGUCGCGUCGUUUGUGAAAACCAGCAGCUCAACUGCUGGCUUGCAGGCGAUACGGGCAGACUUGAGUACGGCAGGGGAGACUGGAAUUCCUGGUGUAGCGGUGAAAUGCGCAGAUAUCAGGAGGAACACCGGUGGCGAAGGCGGGUCUCUGGGCAGUACUGACGCUGAGGAACGAAAGCGUGGGGAGCGAACAGGAUUAGAUACCCUUGUAGUC
rnacentral:rRNA from 1 species